rnacentral:sRNA from 1 species
ACAGUGUGCCCUUCUUGGGCGUUUCCUCCCUAGACUUCGGGCCGCUCCUACAGGGGCGGCCUUUUUUUGUCUUGUU